UACGGAGGGAGCUAGCGUUGUUCGGAAUUACUGGGCGUAAAGCGCGCGUAGGCGGCUUUGUAAGUUAGAGGUGAAAGCCCGGGGCUCAACCCCGGAACUGCCUUUAAGACUGCAUCGCUUGAAUCCGGGAGAGGUGAGUGGAAUUCCGAGUGUAGAGGUGAAAUGCGUAGAUAUCUGGAGGAACACCGGUGGCGAAGGCGGCAUCCUGGACCGACAUUGACGCUGAGGCGCGAAAGCCAGGGGAGCAAACGGG
rnacentral:rRNA from 1 species